rnacentral:rRNA from 1 species
UACGAAGGGGGCGAGCGUUGUUCGGAUUUACUGGGCGUAAAGGGCGCGCAGGCGGCGAUUUUUGUCAGGCGUGAAAGCCCCGGGCUCAACCUGGGAACUGCGCUUGAAACGGGAUUGCUGGAGAUCGGGAGAGGAGAGUGGAAUUCCCAGUGUAGAGGUGAAAUUCGUAGAUAUUGGGAAGAACACCGGUGGCGAAGGCGGCUCUCUGGGCCGAUACUGACGCUGAGGAGCGAAAGCGUGGGGAGCCGAACAGG